UACAGAGGGUGCAAGCGUUGUUCGGAAUUACUGGGCGUAAAGCGUGCGCAGGCGGCUGCUCAAGUCAGGGGUGAAAGCCCAGAGCUCAACUCUGGAAUUGCCUUUGAGACUGAGUGGCUUGAGUACGGGAGAGGUGAGUGGAAUUCCCAGUGUAGAGGUGAAAUUCGUAGAUAUUGGGAAGAACACCGGUGGCGAAGGCGGCUCACUGGCCCGUAACUGACGCUCAUGCACGACAGCGUGGGGAUCAAACAGG
rnacentral:rRNA from 1 species